CAGUAAGAGCUGUGCCCACGUUCAGCUGUGUUCAUACGGUAUUCUUUGCAGAAAACGACAGCAACAGAGUUCAUGCAACUUAAAUAACUGUUUUUCCAAUGGACUGACUGCAGAAGGAUUGGCUGAGUUGUCUCUCUCUCGAUGAACCUUUCUCUUUGAUCUAAAACCAAGGAAAUGGGUGUGGAAGAAAUGGAAUCUCAAAAGCUUUAAGGCUGUCACAGUAAAUCAUACAGUAAAGAUGCUACUGCUAACACACAAGCUGCUGCAUCUGCCAGUUCUGCAGCAGCCAGUAAGUCUUGUAAAUAUUUUUAAACACAUAAUGCACGUGACUGUACAUUUUGGAAUAGGACUUAGAGUA